UUAGAAGUGUCAUGGAGUUCUUUGCUUUUCAUUGUUGUUAUAUGCAGUGAUGGAAAUAAACAAAUCUUUUUUAUUCUUCUCUUUCAUUGAUAUAUGAUUUAAAUUCCUAACUCUAGUCUCUAUCAAAUAUAUUCGCCAUUCCAAAUAUUUUUUUUACUCUUCUUGAAUACCAAUCUAAUCCAUUCUAGUUUUCUUAAUUCUCAUGAUGUAG
rnacentral:misc_RNA from 1 species